rnacentral:rRNA from 1 species
AGCGAACGCUGGCGGCAGGCCUAACACAUGCAAGUCGAACGGAUCCUUCGGGAUUAGUGGCGGACGGGUGAGUAACACGUGGGAACGUGCCCUUUGGUUCGGAACAACUCAGGGAAACUUGAGCUAAUACCGGAUGUGCCCUUUGGGGGAAAGAUUUAUCGCCAUUGGAGCGGCCCGCGUCUGAGUAGCUAGUUGGUGAGGCAAAGGCUCACCAAGGCGACGAUCAGUAGCUGGUCUGAGAGGAUGAUCAGCCACAUUGGGACUGAGACACGGCCCAAACUCCUACGGGAGGCAGCAGUGGGGAAUCUUGCGCAAUGGGCGAAAGCCUGACGCAGCCAUGCCGCGUGAAUGAUGAAGGUCUUAGGAUUGUAAAAUUCUUUCACCGGGGACGAUAAUGACGGUACCCGGAGAAGAAGCCCCGGCUAACUUCGUGCCAGCAGCCGCGGUAAUAC